rnacentral:sRNA from 1 species
GCUGGGUGUGGUGGCACACACCUGUAAUCCCAGCCACUCAGGAGGCUGAAGCCGGAAGAUGACAAGUUUGAGGCUGAGGCUAGCCUGGGAAACUUCGUGAGACCCUGUCUAAAAAAAAAAGCGGGAGCUGUCAGCAAUCACUGGCUCCCUUUCUCACCCACUGUCGUUCUCUGCUCGCU